GACGAACGCUGGCGGCGUGCCUAAUACAUGCAAGUCGAGCGGACUGAUUAAGAGCUUGCUCUUAUGACGUUAGCGGCGGACGGGUGAGUAACACGUGGACAACCUGCCCUGUAGAUCGGGAUAACACCGAGAAAUCGGUGCUAAUACCGGGUAAUAUCUGAGAUCACAUGAUCUUAGGUUAAAAGAUGGCUCCGGCUAUCACUACAGGAUGGGCCCGCGGCGCAUUAGCUAGUUGGUAAGGUAAUGGCUUACCAAGGCGACGAUGCGUAGCCGACCUGAGAGGGUGAUCGGCCACACUGGGACUGAGACACGGCCCAGACUCCUAAGGGAGGCAGCAGUAGGGAAUCUUCCGCAAUGGACGAAAGUCUGACGGAGCAACGCCGCGUGAGUGAUGAAGGGUUUCGGCUCGUAAAGCUCUGUUGUUAGGGAAGAAACAGUACCGAACGAACUAGGUCGGUACCUUGACGGUACCUAACCAGAAAGCCACGGCUAACUACGUG
rnacentral:rRNA from 1 species